CAGCAACCGACGGCUGCCGAGCCUCAGCAGCAACCGACGGCUGAGCCUCAGCAGCAACCGACGGCUGAGCCUCAGCAGCAACCGACGGCUGAGCCUCAGCAGCAGAAGCAACAGGCCACUAUACCCCAGCAAGUUAGGUAUCCAGCUCAAAUGCCCCAGAAGCAUCUGGCCUCCAUGCCUCUGCCGCAGAAGCAACCGACCGCCGUGCCCCAGCAAGGGUGGCAUCCAGCUCAAAUGCUGCAGACACAACUGACCGCCAUGCCCCUGCAAGCAUGGUAUCCAGCUCAAAAGCCCCAGCUGCAGAAGCAAUUAGCCGCUGAACCUCAGCAGCAAAUUGAACUGACCGCAAUGCCCCAGCCACCUCAGCAAGUGUGGCAUCCAGAUCAAUUUCCCCAGCAGCAAAAGCAACCAGCUACUGAACCUCAGCAGCAGAAGGAACCGGCCGCCGUAACUCAGCAAGUGUUGCAUCCAGCUCAAAUGCUGCUGAAGCAACUGACUGCCAUGCACCAGUAUGUGUGGUAUCCAGCUCAAAAGCCCCAGAAUCAACCAGUCCCUAUGCGUCAACCGCAGAAGGAACUGACCGCCAUUCCACCACAACUGUGGCAAUCGGCUCAAAUGCCCCAGCAGCAUAAGCAACCGGCUGCCACGCUUCAGCAAGUGUGGCAAGCGGCCCCCAUGCCCCAGCAGCCUCAUGAUGUGUGGUAUCCAGCUAAAAUGGUCCAGAAGCAACAAGCCUCUGCAACUCGGCGGCAGAAGGAAAUGACCGCCAUGCCUCAGCAAGAGUGGCAUCCAGCUCAAAUGCCCCAGAAGCAAUCACCCACUGAACCUCGGCAGCAGAAGCAAUCGACCACCUUGGCCCAGGAAGUGUGGACUCCAGCUAAAUUUCCCCAGAAGCAACCAGCCCCAAUGCCUUUACCGCAGAAGGAACUGACCGCCAUACCCCAGCAACCUCAGCAAGUGUGGUAUUCAGCUCAAAUGCCUCAGCAGCAACCGACUGCUGAGCCUCAGCAGCAACCGACUGCUGAGCCUCAGCAGCAACCGACUGCUGAGCCUCAGCAGCAGAAGCAACAGGCCACUAUACCCCAGCAAGUUAGGUAUCCAGCUCAAAUGCCCCAGAAGCAUCUGGCCUCCAUGCCUCUGCCGCAGAAGCAACCGACCGCCGUGCCCCAGCAAGGGUGGCAUCCAGCUCAAAUGCUGCAGACACAACUGACCUCCAUGCCCGAGCUAACGUGGUAUCGAGCUCAAAUGCUCCAGCAGCAGAAACAACUGGCCACCAUGCUGCAGAAUCAACCAGCCCCAAUGCAUCUGCCGCAGAAGCAACCGGCCACCAUGCCGCCGCAAGUGUUGCAUCCAGCUCAAAUGCUGCAGAAGCAACAUACUGCCAUGCCCCAGCAAGCAUGGUAUCCAGCUCAAAAGCCCCAGCUGCAGAAGCAAUCGGCCGCUGAACCUCAGCAGCAAAUUGAACUGACCGCAAUGCCCCAGCCACCUCAGCAAGUGUGGCAUCCAGAUCAAUUUCCCCCGGAGCAGAAGCAACCAGCCCCUAUGCAUCUACCGCAGAAGGAACUGACCGCCAUACCCCAACUGUGGCAAACAACUCAAAUUCCCCAGCAGCAUAAGCAACCGGCUGCCAUGCUUCAGCAACCUCACGACGUGUGGUAUCCAGCUAAAAUGGUCCAGAAGCAACAAGUCGCUGCACUGACCGCCAUGCCGCAGGCACAUCAGAAAGUGUGGCAUCCAGUUCAAAUGCCUCAGCAGCAGAAGCAACCAGCUACUGAACCUCAGCAGCAAAUUGAACUGACCGCCAUGCUUCAGACACAUCAGCAAGUGUGGCAUCCAGCUCAAUUUCCCCAGCAGCAGAAGCAACCGGCCUCCAUGCCUCUUCCGCAGGAGAAACCGACCGCCAUACCCAAGCAAGUGUGGUAUCCAGCUCAAAUGUCCCAGCAGCAACUGGCCUCCAUGCCUCUACCGCAGAAGCAACUGACCCCCGUGCCUCAGCAAUUAUGGCAUGUAGCUCAAAUGCCCCAGAAGCAACUUGCCCCAAUGUCUCAGCAGAAGCACUACGAAAGCACUGAAGAUGGUGUCUCUGGUAGCUCUCAGGCCAGCAUUGUUGAACAGUUGGGUGUCAUCCCAAUCUAUUCCUACAGUUCCAAAUCGCACUACGAGAAGGGCAGAACUGUCUUCUCCCAAACCCGCUACACUCCUAGGGAGGCUAUGCCUGUUGACAGUGGAAAUGCUCCCAAGGACAGUUAUGUUGGCAUUGGUGCACCAAGCAUGCAUCCACCACUAGUGAAGGAUUCUGCAAGGGAAAUGUAACGGAGUCAUCCUCUAGAAGCUCUAAUGGAAGUUGCUGGUGCUCAAGCGUGAUGGAAUCAAUAAACAAUUUUAUUUUCAAAAAUGUUUUGUCUCUUUGAAAUAAUGAUUCUUGUGUCCAUUGCUUGCUAAUUGAGAACAGGUGGUGUGC
rnacentral:lncRNA from 1 species